rnacentral:rRNA from 1 species
ACGGAGGGGACAAGCGUUAUUCGGAAUUAUUGGGCGUAAAGGGCGCGUAGGCGGCCGGAUAAGUGAGAAGUGAAAGCCCACGGCUCAACCGUGGAACGGCUUCUCAUACUGUCUGGCUAGAGUGUGGGAGAGGGAAGUGGAAUUUCCGGUGUAGCGGUGAAAUGCGUAGAUAUCGGAAGGAACACCAGUGGCGAAGGCGACUUCCUGGACCAUGACUGACGCUGAGGCGCGAAAGCGUGGGGAGCAAACAGG